GAGAGAGACAUGCGCGCAUAUCAAUAAGCGGAGGAAAAGAAACUAACAAGGAUUCCCCUAGUAACGGCGAGUGAAGCGGGAAGAGCUCAAAUUUGAAAUCUUAAAGGGUUUUCCCUUGACGAAUUGUAGUUUAAAGAAGUGUUUUCUGUUGAAGUUUCGGUAAAAGUUCUUUGGAAUAGGACAUCAUAGAGGGUGAGAAUCCCGUAUUUGACCGUUACUUUUCAGCUGUGUGAUACACUUUCAAAGAGUCGGAUUGUUUGGGAUGCAGUCCAAAAUGGGUGGUAAAUUUCAUCUAAAGCUAAAUAUUGGCGAGAGACCGAUAGCGAACAAGUACCGUGAGGGAAAGAUGAAAAGAACUUUGAAAAGAGAGUUAAACAGUACGUGAAAUUGUCAAAAGGGAAGCGUUUGACACCAGUGUUGUUUUUCUGAAAAUCUAAUUAAAGAACUGUUUAUGCUAAGUUGUUUAGACUUUAUCAGCUAACUGUUUAGUUUUGAGCUUUUCUUUAAUGCACUUUUCAGUUAACAAGUCAACAUCAAUUUCUUUUGCUGUAAAAAAGAUUGAGGAAGGUGGCUUGAGAUUCGUCUUAAGUGUUUAUAGCCUCUUGCCUAUGCAGUCGGAGAGAUUGAGGUCUGCAGCGUAGAUCCUUCGGGGCUAAAUGCAUUUGUGCUAAGUUAUAGCAUUUUAUAGACAACUUGUUGACUAUGAUUUGUCUUGUAGCUUACUCGCUUAUGUUAUUUUACCUACGCUUAGGAUGUUGAGCGCAUGUCUCUCUCU
rnacentral:rRNA from 1 species